rnacentral:ncRNA from 1 species
AAUCAGCGGGGAAAGAAGACCCUGUUGAGCUUGACUCUAGUCUGACUCUGUGAAGAGACAUGAAAGGUGUAGCAUAGGUGGGAGAUUGUCAAAUUGCCAUCGUUCGCGCGGUGGUCCGGUGAUCACCAAUGAAAUACCACUACUUUGAUAGUUUCUUUACUUAUUCGGUAAAGCGAAAAAAUUGUGGCCAAUUUGGCGGUGUUUGUGUCGCUGUUGGUCAUUGUUUUCAUGUUAGUAGAUUGAAGCUUUGUUUACAGCCGUCGCUUUGUGUCGCCAUUUGACGCAUUGUUGUACUGGGUUAUCCCGGUGUGUGAUGUAGUCAGUAUGGAUGAUCGGCGAUAGGUUUGAAGUGAUUCGCUCUGGAAACAGUGUCAGACGGGGAGUUGGACUGGGGCGGUACAUCUGUUAAACGAUAAUGCAGGUGUCCUAAGGUAAGCUCAGCGGGGACAGAAACCUCGCUUAGAGUAAACGGGCACAAGCUUACUUGAUUUUGAUUUCCAGUACGAAUAGAAACCGCGAAAGCGUGGCCUAUCGAUCCUUUUGAUUGUGUAGAUUUCAUGCAAGAGGUGUCAGAAAAGUUACCACAGGGAUAUCGCUUUUGGAUCUCCGUCGGCAGCGCGGCUGUCUUCCCAUGCGGUUG